AGUGAACGCUGGCGGUAGGCCUAACACAUGCAAGUCGAACGGCAGCACAGUAAGAGCUUGCUCUUACGGGUGGCGAGUGGCGGACGGGUGAGGAAUACAUCGGCAUCUACUUUUUCGUGGGGUAUAACGUAGGGAAACUUACGCUAAUACCGCAUACGACCUACGCGUGAAAUCAGUAGUUCUUCGGAUCUUGCGCGAUUGAAUGAGCCGAUGCCGGAUUAGCUAGUUGUCGCGGUAAAGGCCCACCAAUUCGACGAUCCGUAGCUGGUCUGAGAGGAUGACCCGCCACACUGGAACUGAGACACGGUCCAGAAUCCUACGGGAGGCAGCAGUGGGGAAUAGUCGGCAAUGGGCGCAAGACUGAUCCAGCCAUACCGCGUGGGUGAAGAAGGGCUUCGGGUUGUAGAGCCCUUUUGUUGGGAAAGACAAGCAGCAGGUUAAUACCCCGCUGUUCUGACGUUACCCAAAGAAUAAGCACCGGCUAACUUCGUG
rnacentral:rRNA from 1 species